UACGUAGGGUGCAAGCGUUGUCCGGAUUUAUUGGGCGUAAAGGGCUCGUAGGCGGUUUGUCGCGUCGGGAGUGAAACCUUGGGCUUAACUCAGGGCUUGCUUUCGAUACGGGCAGACUAGAGGUAUGCGGGGAGAACGGAAAUUCUGGUGUAGCGGUGAAAUGCGCAGAUAUCAGGAGGAACACCGGUGGCGAAGGCGGGUCUCUGGGCAACAACAUGACGCUGGAGGAGCGAAAGCCGUGGGGAGCGAACAGG
rnacentral:rRNA from 1 species